rnacentral:rRNA from 1 species
CCUACGGGUGGCAGCAGUGAGGAAUAUUGGUCAAUGGCCGGAAGGCUGAACCAGCCAAGCCGCGUGAAGGACGAAGGUGCCAAGCAUUGUAAACUUCUUUUGUCAAGGGACAAAAUCAGUCUCGAGAGCCUGACCGAGGGUACUUGAAGAAAAAGCAUCGGCUAACCACGUGCCAGCAGCCGCGGUAAUACGGAGGAUGCGAGCGUUAUCCGGAUUUAUUGGGUUUAAAGGGUGAGUAGGCGGACGGUUAAGUCAGCGGUAAAAGCCCGGGGCUCAACCCCGGCGAGCCGUUGAAACUGGGUGGCUUGAGAUGUCGAGAGGUAUGCGGAAUGCGCAGUGUAGCGGUGAAAUGCUUAGAUAUUGCGCAGAACUCCGAUUGCGAAGGCAGCAUACCGGCGGCGAUCUGACGCUGAGGCACGAAAGCGUGGGUAUCGAACAGGAUUAGAUACCCCAGUAGUC